CCCCCUGUGUGGAUUCUCUGAUGAUUAGAAAGGGCUGAGCUCCUAAUGAAGCUUUUCCCACAUUCACUGCAUUCGUAGGGCCUCUCCCCUGUGUGGAUUCUCUGAUGAUUAGAAAGGGCUGAGCUCCUAAUGAAGCUUUUCCCACACUCACUGCAUUCAUAGGGCCUCUCCCCUGUGUGGAUUCUCUGAUGGUGAAAAAGGCCUGAUCUUUGAAUGAAGCUUUUCCCACACUCACUGCAUUCAUAGGGCUUCUCCCCCGUGUGGAUUCUCUG